UGGUGGGGGCCUGAGAGCCACCGGGCUGCGGUGCGCGAGUGUGGACACCGCCCCGCCUUCUGCGUCUACAGCCCUGGGUUCUGGGACCUUUGGAAACCGCUUUGGACGAAGCUGAGCAUCUCUUUCCCCACGCUGACCUCCCCCAUAGACUCCGGAUGGGAGUAAAUGAGGGUAAGGGUGCCGUCACCGCAGGAGGUGGAUUUUCUAUGCUCCACAAGCUCCUGGGAAAUCCAGAAACUCUAGAGAAGCUUGUUUGCCAAACCUUGCUUUGGGCGGUGGAGACAGAAUAUCAUGUCCCAGAUCAGCGUGUGGUGACUGUGGAGGCAUUUACACACAGCACACUCCAGCUCUGCCACUGGGCCGGCUGAGGUGGCUGCGGUACACGGCGCCCAUCCUGAGCCCCAGGUUCCUCACAUGUCAACAGCAUGAAAAGUGCCUCUAAGACAUCCACAGGUGUGCAGUGUUAAAGCAGGCAGCGCCUCAGCUUGGUUAGCUCCCUUAAGGACUGCGGCUCCCUUAGGACAAGGCUCUGUCCCUCAGAGCACUGAGUGCGAUCUCAUGCUGGCAUCUUAGAGACAUUGUAUUCACCAGGUAAGAUGGAUUCACAUCUGCUGGGUGCACGAACACUUCCUCCUUCCUUGCCACCAGCCAGCAUCACAACCAGCCUGGCCAGGCUCCCGUCCCAGCCCAGCCUAGCAGCUAACCCCAGCUCCAUCCCCCAGCAAGCCCCUCUGCCUGCACCUCAGCUUCUUCAUGGAAGACGAGUCAGGUCAUGAUGCCACCAGGGAGCGUGUUUCCAUGUUGAACUGAGACACUAAGCCCUUGACAAAUGUUGGCCAAGAAAAAAAAGGGGCUCCAAGAGGGGAGCUGUGGCUCAGGUAGAAGACGGUGAAUGAGCAUUGCCUGAAUCAGAGUUAGCUACUCUGGUUACACAGGUGUCCCCGGCAGGUUGGUCAAAAGCCCUUCCCUGAGUCCCGUGAUAAGUGUGGGGAGGGAGGCAAAUCAAAGACCCCUACACACCUCCUGCAUGGAUGGCCAGAGCGCUGGUCCCACCUCCUUCCUUCCAAACUGCAACCCCGAUCAGCACAGCAGAGAAGUCUCCUGUGGCAGGGACCAGUAAUUCAGUGCUUCCCCUGGAGAGUCUGGGAUUGCACAGAACACCAGAGGCUGGGGAUUUAUUUGUUCACCAACAUUCAUUCAACAAACACUUACUGAGGCCAACACUGGGAAUGGAGACGAACUUCCCUGUCCUCAUGGAGCUUGCUUUCAAAAGGGAAGGAGGCAGACAGUAAACAAAACAAGCAAGUCAAUAUACAGCAUGAUGCAGAAAAGGUGUGAUGCCACCCUCUUGCCUGAGUUUAUAACAAGCAGAUGAUGUUGUCCUAAGAAUUAAUUUCAGCCGGUGAAAGAGUACAGGCAAAAAACGUGGUCUCGGACUUUCCGGUGAUGCUUAAGAACAUAGUUGCAGUUUUUGUUCUGAUUCUUUGUGCAUCUCGCGCUAAUGAAGGAUUCUGCCAUGAUUGCCACCUCUGGAGACGUCACAGCCAGCACAGCCAUGACCAGGGAUGAACUUGGCCAUUGUCCAGCAGCACCAUGGGAGGACCAGCUGCUGUAAGUGAAGGUCAUCAUCCAUCUGAUUUGCUGGCUUUUUGCAACUACUGCGGUGGAAGUCUUAGAGUAGCCACCUUCUCUGUACUCAGACCUUCACUUCGCCAGAUGUCAGCACAGCAGUGUCAGCAGCUUCGUCAAACACAAACACCACCACCUCUCUGGAUCAGAAGCACAUGGAAAGCCCACCUUGCAAGAAGACCCAGCUAUUCCAAAAGUACCCAUAUCCCUGUAGCAUCCUCUUAGCUGAAUGUCUCUACUCCUUAAACUUGUACCACUUUGAAGAGUAAAAAUUUAAAUUCAUUCA
rnacentral:lncRNA from 1 species